rnacentral:rRNA from 1 species
CGAAUGCUGACAUAAGUAACGAUAAAGCGGGUGAAAAGCCCGCUCGCCGGAAGACCAAGGGUUCCUGUCCAACGUUAAUCGGGGCAGGGUGAGUCGACCCCUAAGGCGAGGCCGAAAGGCGUAGUCGAUGGGAAACAGGUUAAUAUUCCUGUACUUGGUGUUACUGCGAAGGGGGGACGGAGAAGGCUAUGUUGGCCGGGCGACGGUUGUCCCGGUUUAAGCGUGUAGGCUGGUUUUCCAGGCAAAUCCGGAAAAUCAAGGCUGAGGCGUGAUGACGAGGCACUACGGUGCUGAAGCAACAAAUGCCCUGCUUCCAGGAAAAGCCUCUAAGCAUCAGGUAACAUCAAAUCGUACCCCAAACCGACACAGGUGGUCAGGUAGAGAAUACCAAGGCGCUUGAGAGAACUCGGGUGAAGGAACUAGGCAAAAUGGUGCCGUAACUUCGGGAGAAGGCACGCUGAUAUGUAGGUGAAGUCCCUCGCGGAUGGAGCUGAAAUCAGUCGAAGAUACCAGCUGGCUGCAACUGUUUAUUAAAAACACAGCACUGUGCAAACACGAAAGUGGACGUAUACGGUGUGACGCCUGCCCGGUGCCGGAAGGUUAAUUGAUGGGGUUAGCGCAAGCGAAGCUCUUGAUCGAAGCCCCGGUAAACGGCGGCCGUAACUAUAACGGUCCUAAGGUAGCGAAAUUCCUUGUCGGGUAAGUUCCGACCUGCACGAAUGGCGUAAUGAUGGCCAGGCUGUCUCCACCCGAGACUCAGUGAAAUUGAACUCGCUGUGAAGAUGCAGUGUACCCGCGGCAAGACGGAAAGACCCCGUGAACCUUUACUAUAGCUUGACACUGAACAUUGAGCCUUGAUGUGUAGGAUAGGUGGGAGGCUUUGAAGUGUGGACGCCAGUCUGCAUGGAGCCGACCUUGAAAUACCACCCUUUAAUGUUUGAUGUUCUAACGUGGACCCGUAAUCCGGGUUGCGGACAGUGUCUGGUGGGUAGUUUGACUGGGGCGGUCUCCUCCUAAAGAGUAACGGAGGAGCACGAAGGUUGGCUAAUCCUGGUCGGACAUCAGGAGGUUAGUGCAAUGGCAUAAGCCAGCUUGACUGCGAGCGUGACGGCGCGAGCAGGUGCGAAAGCAGGUCAUAGUGAUCCGGUGGUUCUGAAUGGAAGGGCCAUCGCUCAACGGAUAAAAGGUACUCCGGGGAUAACAGGCUGAUACCGCCCAAGAGUUCAUAUCGACGGCGGUGUUUGGCACCUCGAUGUCGGCUCAUCACAUCCUGGGGCUGAAGUAGGUCCCAAGGGUAUGGCUGUUCGCCAUUUAAAGUGGUACGCGAGCUGGGUUUAGAACGUCGUGAGACAGUUCGGUCCCUAUCUGCC